rnacentral:rRNA from 1 species
UGGGGGAUAUUGCACAAUGGGCGAAAGCCUGAUGCAGCGACGCCGCGUGGGGGAUGAAGGCCUUCGGGUUGUAAACUUCUUUUGCUCUGAACAAGGCAUGCUUUUGGGGUGUGUUGAGUGUAGGGGUUGAAUAGCGCCGGCUAACUACGUGCCAGCAGCCGCGGUAAUACGUAGGGCGCGAGCGUUGUCCGGAAUUAUUGGGCGUAAAGGGCUUGUAGGUGGCUGGUUGCGUCUGUCGUGAAAGCUCAUGGCUUAACUGUGGGUUUGCGGUGGGUACGGGCUGGCUUGAGUGCAGUAGGGGAAGCUGGAAUUCCUGGUGUAGCGGUGGAAUGCGCAGAUAUCAGGAGGAAUACCGGUGGCGAAGGCGGGUCUCUGGGCUGUUACUGACGCUGAGGAGCGAAAGCGUGGGGAGCGAACAGG